UAGAGUUUGAUCAUGGCUCAGAUUGAACGCUGGCGGCAGGCCUAACACAUGCAAGUCGAGCGGUAACAGAGAGAAGCUUGCUUCUCUGCUGACGAGCGGCGGACGGGUGAGUAAUGGCUGGGAACCUGCCCUGAUGUGGGGGAUAACCAUUGGAAACGAUGGCUAAUACCGCAUAACGUCUACGGACCAAAGAGGAGGACCUUCGGGCUUCUCGCGUCAGGAUGGGCCCAGUUGGGAUUAGCUAGUAGGUGAGGUAAAGGCUCACCUAGGCGACGAUCCCUAGCUGGUUUGAGAGGAUGAUCAGCCACACUGGAACUGAGACACGGUCCAGACUCCUACGGGAGGCAGCAGUGGGGAAUAUUGCACAAUGGGGGAAACCCUGAUGCAGCCAUGCCGCGUGUAUGAAGAAGGCCUUCGGGUUGUAAAGUACUUUCAGCAGUGAGGAAGAUAGUGUAGUUAAUACCUGCGUUGUUUGACGUUAGCUGCAGAAGAAGCACCGGCUACUCCGUGCCAGCAGCCGCGGUAAAACGGAGGGUGCGAGCGUUAAUCGGAAUUACUGGGCGUAAAGCGCAUGCAGGCGGACUGUUAAGUCAGAUGUGAAAGCCCCGGGCUUAACCUGGGAAUCGCAUUUGAAACUGGCAGUCUAGAGUCCUGUAGAGGGGGGUAGAAUUUCA
rnacentral:rRNA from 1 species